rnacentral:sRNA from 1 species
GGGACACGGCCCAGCUGAUCUAGUCCCGGCAGAAGAGACUGGUGGGGACCAGGCAUUGGAAACUGCUUUUGGAAAAAAUUCACCUCUGUCAGUUGAUGAAGAGACAAUGCCCAAAUAUGCUAGCCGCAAGAGUCAGAGUGCCACUCUCCUGGGACAAAGAUCGUCAUCUAACAACUUAGCUCCUCCAAAGCCAAUGAGUUUAAAGACAGAAAGAAUUAACUCGGGGAAAACACCACCACAGGAAGGUAGAGAGAAAAGUCCUCCCGGGAGACGUCAAGACAGAAGUCCAGCACCCACUGGAAGGCCGACUCCCGGUGCAGAAAGACGGGGGGUGUCUGAAGACGGAAAGGUGACCUCGGAAACCUGGGUCACUCUACACUGUCCACAUGGAAAAUUCAGAUUCAGAUGAAGUUCCACUUAGGUCUAAUAAGAGUACUCAAUUUGUUAUUCAAAAUAGACCUAGUAAUUUAUUAACCUAAUUAUGUUUCUAUAGAUAAAACCUUGAAUUUCUUCAGACAUGUCUUUAAUGCUAAAAAAGCAA